rnacentral:Y_RNA from 1 species
GGCUGGUGUGAAGAUUGUGAGUCAUCUCAAUUGAUUGUUCACAGUCAGUUACAAAUUGAACUCUUUGUUCUGUUCUUUUCCUCCUUCUCACUACUACCCUUAUCUAGUCUUUU